rnacentral:rRNA from 1 species
UACGGAGGGUGCGAGCGUUGUCCGGAAUCACUGGGCGUAAAGGGCGCGUAGGCGGCCUGGUAAGUAGGGGGUGAAAUCCUGCGGCUUAACCGCAGGGCUGCCUUCUAAACUGUCAGGCUUGAGCACGGUAGAGGCAGAUGGAAUUCCUGGUGUAGCGGUGAAAUGCGCAGAUAUCAGGAGGAACACCAGCGGCGAAGGCGGCGCUCUGGGCCGGUACUGACACUGAGGAGCGAAAGCGUGGGUAGCAAACAGG